AGAUCCUUGAAUUGUCUAAGCCCGAGUUGCCUAAAGGACCAGAAUUACUUAAGCCUGAGUUACCUAGUGUACCUAAUAUCCCUAAGGUUCCUGAAUUGCCUAAACCAGAGUUGCCUGAAGUCCCAAAGUUGCCUAAGCCUGAGUUGCCAAAAGUACCAGAAUUGCCUAAACCUGAGUUACCUAAAGUACCUGAGAUCCCUGAAUUGCCUAAUCUCGAGUUGCCUAAAGUAACACAAUUGCCUAAGUCUAAGUUACCAAAAGUACCUGAGAUCCCUAAGGUCCCUGAAUUUCCUAAGCCCGAGUUGCCUAAAGUUCCUGAAUUGUCUAAGCCAGAGUUACCAAAAGCACCUGAGAUUCCUAAGGUCCCUGAAUUUCCUAAGCCCGAGUUGCCUAAAGUUCCUGAAUUGUCUAAGCCAGAGUUACCAAAAGCACCUGAGAUCCCUAAGGUCCCUGAAUUUCCUAAGCCCGAGUUGCCUAAAGUUCCUGAAUUGCCUAAGCCAGAGUUACCAAAAAUACCUGAAAUCCCUAAGGUCCCUGAAUUUCCUAAGCCAGAGUUGCCUAAAGUUCCUGAAGUGCCUAAGCCAGAGUUGUCAAAAGUACCAAAGCUACCUAAGUCUGAGUUACCUAAAGUACCUGAGAUUCCUGAAUUGCCUAAGUCCGAGUUGC
rnacentral:lncRNA from 1 species